AACGUAGGUGGCGAGCGUUAUCCGGAUUUACUGGGCGUAAAGCGUGUGCAGGCGGACCACCAAGUGGUGUAUGAAAUCGCUCGGCUAAACCGGGCGGGGUUAUGCCAGACUGGUGGUCUGGAGUGCGAGAGAGGGGCGUGGAAUUCCGGGUGUAGUGGUGAAAUGCGUAGAGAUCAUGAGGAAGACCAGUGGCGAAGGCGGGUCUCUGGACAGUUCCUGACACUGAGGCACGAAGGCCAGGGGAGCAAACGGG
rnacentral:rRNA from 1 species